rnacentral:misc_RNA from 1 species
GAUGAAGAACGCAGCGAAAUGCGAUACGUAAUGUGAGUUGCAGAAUUCAGUGAAUCAUCGAAUCUUUGAACGCAUAUUGCGCUCUCUGGUAUUCCGGAGAGCAUGCUUGUUUGAGUAUCAGUAAACACCUCAACUUCCAUAUCUUUUUUGAAAUGGGAGUUGGACUUGAGUGAUCCCAACGCUUUUCCUCACCGAAAAGUGGCGGGUUACUUGAAAUGCAGGUGCAGCUGGACUUUUCUCUGAGCUAUAAGCAUAUCUAUUUAGUCUGCCUAAAAAACAGAUUAUUACCUUUGCUGCAGCUAACAUAAAGGAGAUUAGUUCUUGUGCUGACUGAUGCAGGAUUCACAAAGACAGGCUUCGGCCGACUUUGUAAACUCGAUCUCAAAUCAAGUAAGACUACCCGCUGAACUUAAGCAUAUCAAUAAGCGGAGGA